GGCGGGGACGGUGCUGGUGCGACCCUCGGGUUGCAAACCCGAUGGCGGGACGAAAGGCGUUCCGACUGGGUUCAAUUCCCAGCCCCGCCU
rnacentral:sRNA from 1 species